rnacentral:rRNA from 1 species
ACACGUAGGGGGCGAGCGUUGUUCGGAAUCAUUGGGCGUAAAGGGCGCGCAGGCGGCCGUCCAAGUCCGGUGUUACAUGGUCGGGCUCAACCCGAUCAUGCGCUGGAAACUGGGCGGCUUGAGUCCCGUAGGGGAUGCCGGAAUUCCAGGUGUAGGGGUGAAAUCUGUAGAUAUCUGGAAGAACACCGAUGGCGAAGGCAGGCAUCUGGCCGGAGACUGACGCUGAGGCGCGAAGGCGCGGGGAGCGAACAGGUUUAGAUACCCUGGUAGUCCGCGCAGUAAACGAUGCGCACCAGGUGUCGGGCGGCAGCGCCCGGUACCGGAGCUAACGCGAUGAGUGCGCCGCCUGGGGAGUAUGCCCGCAAGGGUGGAACUCAAAUGAAUUGGCGGGG